rnacentral:rRNA from 2 species
UGGGGAAUAUUGGGCAAUGGGCGAAAGCCUGACCCAGCGACGCCGCGUGAAGGAAGACGGUCUUCGGAUUGUAAACUUCUUUUAUAAGGGACGAAGCAUGACGGUACCUUAUGAAUAAGCCACGGCUAACUACGUGCCAGCAGCCGCGGUAAUACGUAGGUGGCAAGCGUUAUCCGGAUUUACUGGGUGUAAAGGGUGUGUAGGCGGGAUUGCAAGUCAGAUGUGAAAACUAUGGGCUCAACUCAUAGCCUGCAUUUGAAACUGUGAUUCUUGAGGGUCGGAGAGGUAACUGGAAUUCCUGGUGUAGCGGUGAAAUGCGUAGAUAUCAGGAGGAACACCGGUGGCGAAGGCGGGUUACUGGACGAUUACUGACGCUGAGACACGAAAGCGUGGGGAGCAAACAGG